AGCAGCCGCGGUAAUUCCAGCUCCAAUAGCGUAUAUUAAAGUUGUUGCAGUUAAAAAGCUCGUAGUUGAAUUUCGGGGUUAGUAAGUUGGUCAUGCCUUCGGUAUGUACUGGCUUUACUGAUUCCUCCUUCUUGACGAACCGUGAUGUCAUUAAUUUGGUGUUGCGGGAAAUCAGGACUGUUACUUUGAAAAAAUUAGAGUGUUUAAAGCAGGCUAACGCUUGAAUACAUUAGCAUGGAAUAAUGAAAUAGGACGUUAAUCCUAUUUUGUUGGUUUCUAGGAUCGACGUAAUGAUUAAUAGGGAUAGUUGGGGGCAUUAGUAUUCAAUUGUCAGAGGUGAAAUUCUUGGAUUUAUUGAAGACUAACUACUGCGAAAGCAUUUGCCAAGGAUGUUUUCAUUAAUCAAGAACGAAAGUUAGGGGAUCGAAGACGAUCAGAUACCGUCGUAGUCUUAACCAUAAACUAUGCCGACUAGGGAUCGGAUGAUGUUAUUUUAAUGACUCA
rnacentral:rRNA from 1 species